rnacentral:rRNA from 1 species
GGCGGAUGCCUUGGCUCUCGGAGGCGAUGAAGGACGUGAUAAGCUGCGAUAAGCUCCGGGGAGGUGCAAAUAACCUUUGAUCCGGGGAUUUCCGAAUGGGACAACCCGGCGUGUUGAAGACACGCCACCUGAUCAUUUCAGGAGCUAACGCAGGGAACUGAAACAUCUUAGUACCUGCAGGAAAAGAAAAUAACAAUGAUUCCCCCAGUAGUGGCGAGCGAACGGGGAAUAGCCCAAACCGUUCAUGUUACGGCAUGAUCGGGGUUGUAGGACUACGUCGUUGCAUGAAGACAUCGGAGAAGAACUUUCUGGAAAGAAAGACCAUAGAGCAUGACAGUUGCGUAUUCGUAUGUUGUCGAAGCAUAGUAGUAUCCUGAGUAGCGCGGAGCACGAGGAAUUCUGCGUGAAUCUGCCGGGACCAUCCGGUAAGGCUAAAUACUCCCGAGAGACCGAUAGCGAACCAGUACCGUGAGGGAAAGGUGAAAAGCACUUCGAACAGAAGAGUGAAAUAGUUCCUGAAACCGUGCGCCUACAAGCGGUCGGAGCUGCUUAAAGCAGUGACGGCGUGCCUUUUGCAUAAUGAACCUACGAGUUGCCUUUGCCGGCAAGGUUAAGUGUGACGACACACGUAUCCGAAGCGAAAGCGAGUCUGAAUAGGGCGUAUAGUCGGCAGUGGCAGACGCGAAACCAAGUGAUCUACCCUUGGCCAGGUUGAAGGCUGGGUAACACCAGCUGGAGGACCGCACCAAUAAGCGUUGAAAAGCUUCUGGAUGAGCUGAGGGUAGGGGUGAAAGGCUAAUCAAACUUGGAGAUAGCUCGUACUCCCCGAAAUGCAUUUAGGUGCAGCCUUGACUUAUACUGGCAUGAGGUAGAGCGACUGAUAAGAUGCGAGGGCUUCACCGCCUAUCAAGUCUUGACAAACUCCGAAUGCGCAUCAGUUUUACCUCAGGAGUGAGGGCAUGGGUGCUAAGGUCCGUGCCCGAGAGGAGAAGAAUCCGGACCACCUGCUAAGGUCCCGAAAUGACAGCUAAGUUAAACUAACGAAGUCUGACUGCUAAGACAGCUAGGAUGUUGGCUUGGAAGCAGCCAUUCAUUUAAAGAGUGCGUAACAGCUCACUAGUCGAGGAGUCUGGCGUGGAUAAUAAUCGGGUAUUAAGUUGUCUGCCGAAGCAGUGGGAUCAUUGAAAUGAUCGGUAGGGGAGCAUUCCAGUCAGCGUCGAAGGCGUACCGCGAGGUAUUCUGGAGCGUCUGGAAAAGCAAAUGUAGGUAUAAGUAACGAUAAAGGGGGCGGGAAACCCCCUCGCCGAAAGACUAAGGUUUCCUGAUCAACGCUAAUCGGAUCAGGGUAAGUCGGGUCCUAAGGCUCAGCCGAAGGGCGAUGCCGAUGGCAGAAACGGUUAAUAUUCCGUUACUACCUCCAGGAGUGAUGUGGAGACGCAGUAGUGACAAUGCCGCCAUCUGACGGAAUAGAUGGUUGAAGGGUGUAGAUGUUGAUCUUGGCAGGCAAAUCCACCAUGAGAAUCGAACCUGAUAGUAUGCCGCGUCCCUCGGGACAAGGCAAUAGUGCAUGUAAUCAUGCUGCCAAGAAAAUCCGCUAAACAAAAUCCUGUAGGUACCCGUACCGUAAACGGACACACGUAGUCGGGAUGAAUAUUCUAAGGCGCUUGAGUGAUUCACGGUUAAGGAACUAGGCAAACUGACCCUGUAACUUCGGGAUAAAGGGUCCUCGCUUUACGGCGAGGCGCAGAGAAUAGGUCCAGGCAACUGUUUAACAAAAACACAGGGCUGUGCAAAAUUGAAAGAUGAAGUAUACAGCCUGACACCUGCCCGGUGCUGGAAGGUUAAGAGGAGAUGUCAUCGCAAGAGAAGCAUUGAAUUGAAGCCCCAGUAAACGGCGGCCGUAACUAUAACGGUCCUAAGGUAGCGAAAUUCCUUGUCGGGUAAGUUCCGACCUGCACGAAUGGUGUAAUGAUCUGGACGCUGUCUCAACCGUGAGCUCAGUGAAAUUGUAGUAUCGGUGAAGAUGCCGAUUACCCGCGAUGGGACGAAAAGACCCCGUGAACCUUUACUAUAGCUUAACAUUGAAUUUGGGUAAUUGAUGUGUAGGAUAGGCCGGAGGCUUCGAAGCAGGUACGCCAGUAUUUGUGGAGCCGCUGUUGAAAUACGGCCCUUUGAUUAUUUGAGUUCUAACCCGUUGAUGCGGGGACACUGUUUGGUGGGUAGUUUGACUGGGGUGGUCGCCUCCAAAAGUGUAACGGAGGCUUCU